ensembl:lncRNA
CACAAGAGCAUGAUUUGAUUCACAUCGCGAAGCUUGACGGGGAUCUGCUGGCUGGGAACAGGAUGCUGUCAGGCCGACCAGACGCAUCAACGUAACGGGGAGAAACCGCAGCAGCAUCCUUUGUUUUCCGGAGCUGGACACCCAGACACGUCGAAAACACGGCUAUUGUUCGGCGUUCACACAGCAACAUGGAGCAAUGACUGCAAAGAGGUCGUGUCUGCGCCCUUUGGCUCGGCCGUGUGGUUGCGUUCUCCACAGCGGGCUGUGACACAUAUGCGUGCUGCUGUGUCGGGGAGGGAUUGGCACUGGAUUGCACCACCACCGGAGCUCGCGUGCACACGCAUGCACGCACGCACGCAGGUGUACUUGUGCAGCUUCUGGCCCGUGCACUCUGUCUCAACAGUAGUUACCGUUGUUUAUCUCUUCUAUAAGAAAUACUUUUUUUCUGGCAUUCUGUACAGACACCCAAUUCUGUCCAAGGGUACAUCCUAUUCCUAUUGCUUGACAGUUCUGUUUGUGGGUGAGUUCAGGAUCACUACAUCCAUCCGGCUCUGUGUGACGCCUGGACCUCUGCAUCUUGGAGGACUUUGCUUGGUGAGGUUACGAUUGGCAGACUGAAAAGCACAUGCAAUUGGUACGUUGUGGGUGUUCUCCAGAGACAUGUCCGCCUCCAGUUGAACCACGUUGGCUCGCAAGUUCUGGUCAAAACGCAGCUCCAGAUGUCGUCUUGUAUUCAUUUUAUGUAGUUGUUGUACUGUCAACAUUCAAGAUAUCAGCGAGUGUGUGCACACAGUAUGAUCCAAAAGACCUUUCAAGGUGCCAAUCAUGGCUGGAUUCACCUGCUAGGGGGUCCUGGGUAAUAAUUCUAGAAAACUAUCGUCCACAGAUUCACUGUCUAAUAUGGACUCGGUACCAAAAGAAGCCUCAUGAUAAUAAUUGACUGUAGGAGACCUUAUGUAAUGGAGGCCUUACCCAACUAACGCCUAUCAGUUAGUGUGCCGUAGAGCUUCACGCUUCCAAACAAAUGUCCAAUGAGAUCACCACAAGACAGCUGACAGACAGUGAGCCUGGAGUUGAGGGCCUGCGGGGCAGUCGGCCCCUUUGCCGGUCAGUAAACCUUCGAGAGUGAAGUCACUUUUGGAUACAGCAUUUUUCAUACGGCUUUCCCCGGAAUUUCAAAAUUGUACACAUUUAUUUAAACAAAUGUGUGAAAACUUUAAGGGGUACUAUUUUAAAGAAGGAUUUCCCUGAUAACAUAUUAUUCAAAAAACCUUCUGCUUGCUACGGUAAGGCUUCAAAGCUCAUCCUACCUCAUUUUGCCUUCCUUCUCUUUGCUUUGUGGAAGUCUGAUUUCAUGAAUCAGCGUGUAAAUGCACAGCAGCACCAUUUCUUUCUUUGCUUUCGAGUACACUCAGAUGGGACAAACAGGAACUUGCAUGCAGUCUGAUCCGUAGUGUUUCUUGGUGACUGAGGCCCCUUUGACCCAGUUAUGCAGUCAAGGAAAAGUCCUGGAAUGUUUGCAUCAGGGCCACGUGAGAACCUUGCUGACAGAGCACAGCUUCUGUCUGCAGUCCUGAUGAGUAAUGUUGGAAAGUUUGGUCUAUGCACCAACUGUCAGGCUUUUUCCUGGUUCUGACUGCAGCUUCAGUGUGAGACCUGGAGCCAAACUAGCCAGGAAUACUACAUCACAUUUGGCAAGGGAAGUAGUUGCUCAUAACUUUGUAACCCUUGCCGGCCACUGUGGGUGAGUGGGGAGCACAGUCGUCCACCAAUCAGAUGAUUGGCAGUUCGAUGCCAGGCCCGACUAACACGCAUGUCGAUAUGACUACAAUGUGUGAGUGAUAGAAAGUGAUGGGCAGGUGGCUCUGUGUCUGGUAGCUCCUGCUCCGUCAGUCAGAAGACUAGAAAAGCUCAAUACAAUUACAGUCCAUUUAUCAUUGAUAAAUAUAGUUGUUCUCAUUCGGAUACCAAUAUUGUACACAAAUGCAGCCGAUCAGCGCUGGAUCAGGUAAAGGUCAGUAUGCAAGUCAGUGUAGCAAUCUCAUUUUAGGUUGUCAUACAUCCUGUUUUGGGCUAAACAGGAACCACAACAUGUGUCUGCUUAAUAAAUACCACUACUAUUGCAUACGUCCAAAUAAGUCCCUAUUAGGGCUGCACGCUAUGGCCAAAAAAAUCCAUAUCACGAUUAGUGUUUCACAGUGUACCGGCACUAGAAAGGUACCGCGGUACCCUUACUUUGAAAACAGUGCGGUUUUGAACAUUUUUAUUACCAGUACUUUAAAACAAGCACGCAGUCACUCACUGUCCCGCUCCCUGUCAGGCUGCCUGCACGCAUUGACCGCGCAGCUCUCACACGUGCAACAGGCAGCCGUCACUCACAGCGAGUUAUCAGGGGAGACGUGUCCUCGUGUAGCAGACUGCUCACCCACAUACAGACCAACACCAGUAGCCUUAGCCUAGCUUAGCUCGGGUGACCAGACGUCCUCUUUUACCCGGACGCAUUUUUUAGGUCUCGAAAAGAGGAAAUGUCCAGGUAAAAGACGACGUCUGCUUUGUCUUGUGUUGCACUUGCUUAAUGUUUGACUGUAAAAAUUGUUGACUUGCUAGUUUAGCUGCUAGCCAGACCUCUCGUUAGGGAUGUUAGCUUGUUAUAACACGCUCGGACAUUGAUGCUAGUAUUAAGUGCUCUCGCGUCG